UACGAAGGGGGCUAGCGUUGCUCGGAAUGACUGGGCGUAAAGGGCGCGUAGGCGGAACUGUGCGUCGAGGGUUAAAGACUUAGGCUCAACCUAAGGAAUGCCCUCGAUACGGCAGAUCUUGAGUGCGAGAGAGGAUAGUGGAAUUCCUGGUGUAGCGGUUAAAUGCGUAGAUAUCAGGAGGAACACCAGUGGCGAAGGCGGCUAGCUGGCUCGCAACUGACGCUCAGGCACGAAAGCGUGGGGAGCAAACAGG
rnacentral:rRNA from 1 species